rnacentral:rRNA from 1 species
CACGCCGUAAACGAUGAAUACUAGGUGUAGGGGGUAUCGACCCCCUCUGUGCCGCAGCUAACGCAAUAAGUAUUCCACCUGGGGAGUACGGCCGCAAGGCUAAAACUCAAAGGAAUUGACGGGGGCCCGCACAAGCAGUGGAGUAUGUGGUUUAAUUCGAAGCAACGCGAAGAACCUUACCAGGGCUUGACAUCCUCUGCCAACUGUAGAGAUACAGGGUUUCCUUCGGGAACAGAGAGACAGGUGG